UGUGUCUGUGCGUGCGUCAGUGUGUGUGUGUGUGUGUGUGUGUGUGUGUGUGUGUGUGUGUGUGCAUCCAGCCAUGCUGAGAGGGUAAUGGGAAAACACAGAACAUCAUUACUUCUUUGUGCUGAUGAACCGCUGAGAAAAGACGAACCGGACUUCAGAUGAAAGGUGUGAAGAGAGUUCAGAGCCACCCAAAGACGUGAGGGGAGGAGAGGAAGAAGGACUAGACGUACUCCUGCAGGCUGUAGCUGUCCUUCAGGUCUUUGUGGGGGGGUCUGCAGGGAGACGUGCAGCCCUUCCAGUGCCGCUCGGGUUCCGGAGGUCUCUGCAGCCGGACCCUCGUGUUCCACAUGGUCUUCUUCGGGGGCGG